UACGAAGGGGGCUAGCGUUGCUCGGAAUCACUGGGCGUAAAGGGUGCGUAGGCGGGUCUUUAAGUCAGGGGUGAAAUCCUGGAGCUCAACUCCAGAACUGCCUUUGAUACUGAAGAUCUUGAGUUUGGGAGAGGGACGCGGAAUUCCAGGUGUAGCGGUGAAAUGCGUAGAUAUCGGGAGGAACACCUGAGGCGAAGGCGGGCUACUGGGCUGAUACUGACGCUGAGGCGCGAAAGCCAGGGGAGCGAACGGG
rnacentral:rRNA from 1 species